rnacentral:misc_RNA from 1 species
AACACUGUUAACCUGCGGUACCUGCGGAGGGAUCAUUAUAGUAUAUGGAAUCUCCAUUCUAUAAACCCACUCUGCGUAUCUUGUAACUGUUGCUUCCAUGGGACUUGGUUCCGCCACACCGGCUUCACGGCUGGUGAGCGCCCAUGGAAGGAGAAACAAAGCUCUUCUUUGAAAUGUAGUCAGUCUGAACAAGUUUUUAUAAACGUUAAAACUUUUAACAAUGGAUCUCAGAUCGGAAGA